AUUGAACGCUGGCGGUAGGCCUAACACAUGCAAGUCGAACGAGUGGCGGACGGGUGAGGAAUACAUCGGAAUCUACUCUGUCGUGGGGGAUAACGUAGGGAAACUUACGCUAAUACCGCAUACGAUUGAAUGAGCCGAUGUCGGAUUAGCUAGUUGGCGGGGUAAAGGCCCACCAAGGCGACGAUCCGUAGCUGGUCUGAGAGGAUGAUGAUGCACACUUGAAGUGAGACACGGGCCAGAUCCCUACGGGAGGCAGCAGAGGGGAAUAUUGGACAAUGGGCGCAAGCUCGAUCCAGCCAUGCGGCGUGUGUGAAGAAGGCCGUCGGGUUGUAAAGCCCUUUUGUUGGGAAAGCGGUACCCAAAGUAUAAGCACCGGCGAACUUCGUGCCAGCAGCCGCGGUAAUUC
rnacentral:rRNA from 1 species